rnacentral:rRNA from 1 species
AGCGAACGCUGGCGGCAGGCCUAACACAUGCAAGUCGAACGGGCCCUUCGGGUUAGUGGCGGACGGGUGAGUAACACGUGGGAACGUGCCUUUUGGUUCGGAAUAGCUCCUGGAAACGGGUGGUAAUGCCGAAUGUGCCCUUCGGGGAAGGAUUAUCGCCAUUAGAGCGGCCCGCGUCUGAUUAGCUAGUUGGUGAGGUAAAGGCUCACCAAGGCGACGAUCAGUAGCUGGUCUGAGAGGAUGACCAGCCACAUUGGGACUGAGACACGGCCCAAACUCCUACGGGAGGCAGCAGUGGGGAAGUCUUGCGCAAUGGGCGGAAAGCCUGACGCAGCCAUGCCGCGUGAAUGAUGAAGGUCUUA